rnacentral:siRNA from 1 species
AGUGAUCCUAAAUGCCUAAGUGU